rfam:Nomascus leucogenys chromosome 3, whole genome shotgun sequence.
GCCGGGCAUGGUGGCUCAUGCCUGUAAUCCUAGCACUUUGGGAGGCCGAGGCAGGUGGAUCACCUGAGGUCAGGAGUUCAAGACCAGCCUGGCCAACAUGGUGAAACCCUGUCUCUU